UACGAAGGGGGCUAGCGUUGCUCGGAAUCACUGGGCGUAAAGCGCACGUAGGUGGGUCGUUAAGUCGGGGGUGAAAUCCUGGAGCUCAACUCCAGAACUGCCUUCGAUACUGGCGAUCUUCGAGUCCGGGAGAGGUGAGUGGAACUGCGAGUGUAGAGGUGAAAUUCGUAGAUAUUCGCAAGAACACCAGUGGCGAAGGCGGCUCACUGGCCCGGUACCUGGACACUGACG
rnacentral:rRNA from 1 species